CAAUGGCUGGAUUUGGAAGUUCUUCAACUGGUGAGUCUCUAUACUAUUAGGAACCUAUUAUGUUUCAUUUCUUAUUCAAUGUGCAUUGUUUGUGGAAUUGAUCCUUGUUUAAGAUGUUAAGAUUUUGUCAUUUACAUCAUUCAUAUAACUGUGGGGAUAGUUGAUGUGCAAUCAGAUCCUAAUUUCUAUGUCACUAAAAACCAGAUUAGCUUUUUUUUUUUGAUGUUGUAAUGCUCAGUGUAUUCUGCUUUUUGUUUUUCGGUUUUGACAUUGCAUUCAUGUGGUUCAUUGAAUUACAUUUUGAUUUUUUAAGAACAAUUUACAUCAUACGAGUGAUAUGACAAUGACAGGCUGAGAUUUUAUGGGUUUAUUUUAACAUGGAAUUGGAACCAAGUUCACAAGCACACUCAUCCACAAUGACGUCUCUUCUUCUUUAUACACUAUCUAUCAAUUUAUUUCAAAGGAAAGGAUUGCGGAUAAUGUGAGAUGCUGAAGGGGUAGAAAGCGAAGCCUCAAGGUCAAUGAAACAGCUAGCAUUAAUGCUCGACCAAAGUGAUGCGGUUCAAGUUGCUGAAAGCACUGUCUUUGUUAUUUCCUUGUGAAGAAGCUAUAUGAAAAGGUAAUUUGGCCUCAAGAGCAUCCUCUUUCUCUGCGGGUUAUGACCUUUCAAGUGCAACUGAGAUAAAGGCGCUUGCCAGAGGAAAAGCUCAGGUCUUAACUAAUGGGCAUUACCAUUGUGCAAGGAACCUACGCAUGAAUUGGAUUAGUUCUAGAGUAACGAGAAAAAAAGAGAUGCUCCGAGGUAGUCGGAAGGUCUCUACGGGGCAAAACCUAGGUUUCACAAUAGUGGCGGCGGGCUCUUUGCUCCCCCGACCAAACAAGGGCAGGUCUACAACAGCUCGGGCUCUGAGAAACAUUGUUUUCUAGAGCGAUAGCACUGAGAUCUCUCUCGAGAUGUUCCACAAGCUCUAGACAUGUAGGUCUAUGGCCGCGAAUUUGAAGAAUGGUUUGGUGAUUUGUGUUGGGGUAGGUCUUCGUAUCUCCUCUAUGACUGCUAUUGAAGAGGAGCCGUUGCUAGGGCGGGUCGUAUUAGCCGGGUUGACGGGGGAUUUGUCAACCAUGGUCGAAGUGGGACUGAACUGGUGGUGACGAAGCCAGCAAUGCUCAUGGAUAGGUCGGCGGUGAGCGGUCUGUCUUAUCGGAACUGGUCUUGGGCUCCAGUGGCAUGGAUGACACACGUCACCGGUUAAAGCAGCGAAAGAGACUGCGCUUCAUUAUUUGGGGUUGGGCUCUUGUGGCAUGGAUGGCGCACGUCACCGGCCAGAGGCGGCGGAAGAGACUACGCUUCAUUAUUUGGGGUUGGGCUCUUGUGUCUGGGCCUGGGCUUGGCCUCAAGAAAGCUCAGGUAUGGGGCUGGGUUGUUGAACUUGGGGAUGCUAAUGGCCUCCAUGCGGAGGCGAAGGGCGAGUAAUUUUCAUGCUUGCAUUAGAAAGAUCCUCCCUUUUGUUUUUUCUUUCGAUUUACUAACAUUGAGAGUACGCAAAUUGAUGUCCUGGGCUUGAUGUGUUAGUAUUUUUUGUCGUUAGAUUAAACGCAAGGGAGUUACUAUGUUUUUGCUUUGCAUUAGUUUUCCGUUUUUCAUUUCGGACUUUUCAAACUUUGGUUUGUAUAAUAGUCGUGUUUUUGCGCUUUUAUUUGUUUUCUUAAUUGUUAGCGUGUAUGAGAGAUAACAUGUCAUUUCUUGUAUUUAAUCCUUGUA